GAUGAACGCUGGCGGCGUGCCUAAUACUUGCAAGUCGAGCGAAGCGGGGACGGGUGAGUAACACGUGGAUAACCUCCUAUAAGACUGGGAUCACUUCGGGAAACCGGAGCUAAACCGGAUACUUAUAUGUGUAUCCUCGCCUCAUUAGCUAGUUGGUAAGGUGACGGCUAACCAAGGCAACGCUGCGUAGCCGACCUGAGAGGUUGAUCGUCCACACUGGAACUGUGACACGGUCCAGAAUCCUACGGGAGGCAGCAGUAGGGAAUCUUCCGCAAUGGGCGAAAGCUUUACGGAGCAACUCCGCGUGAGGGAUGAAGGUCUUCGGAUCGUAAAACUCUGUUAUUAUGGAAGCGGUACCUAAUCAGAAAGCCACGGCUAACUACGGGCCAGCAGCCGCGGUAAUAC
rnacentral:rRNA from 1 species